rnacentral:rRNA from 1 species
GACGAACGCUGGCGGCGUGCUUAACACAUGCAAGUCGAACGGAAAGGCCCUGCUUUUGUGGGGUGCUCAAGUGGCGAACGGGUGAGUAACACGUGAGUAACCUGCCCUUGACUUUGGGAUAACUUCAGGAAACUGGGGCUAAUACCGGAUAGGAGCUCCUGCUGCAUGGUGGGGGUUGGAAAGUUUCGGCGGUUGGGGAUGGACUCGCGGCUUAUCAGCUUGUUGGUGGGGUAGUGGCUUACCAAGGCUUUGACGGGUAGCCGGCCUGAGAGGGUGACCGGCCACAUUGGGACUGAGAUACGGCCCAGACUCCUAAGGGAGGCAGGAGUGGGGAAUAUUGCAGAAUGGGCGGAAGCCUGAUGCAGCAACGCCGCGUGCGGGAUGACGGCCUUCGGGUUGUAAACCGCUUUCGCCUGUGACGAAGCGUGAGUGAAGGUAAUGGGUAAAGAAGCACCGGCUAACUACGUG